AGGCCUAAGUAGGCCCCUCCCAUUCUGUGGUUGUCUUCCGAGGAGGGAUAGAACCUUCAGGAGAUGGAUGUUUGUGGGGGGCGGUGUGUCAGUGGGAGUGAGAAGUGAGGAGACCCUCAAGAACAAUAGCUGUCAUGGACAGAAAGACUGAACUUCGUAUAGCUGCCACAAGGGCCUCUGUCUCCUCCUUGGGUAGUAGUUCUGGGGCUGGUGGAGACAAGGGGGUAAGCCUCUGCUUUUUCACACUCACAUUUUUUCUACUGGCUGUCUCUAGGAAAGGCAGACAGUCUCGGUGGAGACCACCCAUGACAGAUGUGUGAGUGAAAUGCAUCAGCAGGAGACACCCACAGAAGUUGGAGGGAAUGACCAAAGGCUGACCAGUGUGGCCUACUCACCUCUGGCCAGCCUUGUGCCCCAGAUACCACGAAAAUGCUUUUUACUCAUCCUGGCUGAGAGAUUUGCCUGACUUGUAUUCUCUCUCCCAAUUCAUUGUGUUUGUCAGUGGGCCAGGGAUCAUUAGGCUAAAACUUCUUUGUCACCCAAAUUCUGCAGUGUCAUCCUGUUCCAGAAACAAUGAAACAAAUGCCGGCCUAAAUGAGGGACAAAGGGGCAACAGGAAGCUCCAGAACAAAGCUUCCACACACACUACCCUCUGUGGAAGCCACAGGCAGUGGAAAACAUCCACAGAACGCCAACUAUCCAAUGGGAUGCUCCACUGACGCCUGAGUCCUGACCUAGGUGCUACAUCCCAGUAUGCUCAAGGUUGCUAAGGACAGUGCCUGCCUCCGAGCUGAGGACCGGGUGUGGCUGACACCUUUCCCGUCCUUCCCUGCCUCAUGCAGGUCUUUAUUCUGAGACAGUGAGUUAGAGUUGAGCACGGGAGCACCAGUGACCAGCAAGGAUGCUCCUGGGUCUGUAUUCCCAGCCGCCAUCUUAGGGCCCUCCCUGGCCUCCCAGCCUAGAGCCAUCUUCUAAGUCCCACGACCAUGUGUGAUCUACAUGCUAUGCAGUCAUACCCCAGAGCCUCCUGCCUCUAACUGUGACCUCGUAGUCUAACUCUCCCAUUCCUCCCCCAUCACUUCACAUGUUUUUCUGGAAUACAGAGAAAUGGUGUAAGACACAUUCCUUUGUGGAGAGAGAAGGCAAGAGCAAAGCAUGGGAGAGGCUCUUGACUGAGAGAGUCAUGGUCAACUACAUUCCACAGCUUGAGUUUCAUCGAGCUCUUGAGCAUGCCGUCUCUGGGUGUUACCUAGCGAGGAACGCCUUCAACCAGCCUGGCUUCAUGUUUCUCAUCUUUGUCACCCAUCACCAUGAGAGAGUGUGUGGCACAGGGCAUCGCCAACAGGAAAGACAGUUACAUAAUCCAUGUUGAAAAAUAUAAUCAACUCCUUCUAGGAGCCAGGCACUCGGCUAGAGGCUGGGGAUAGAGAUGACCGAGACCGAUGUGGCAUGAACACUUCCAGAAUUAUUCCAGAAAGAGCAGCUGCUGAUGCCUCGAGAUUGCUAACCGUACCAGGACCUGGAUUAAGCAUCUUAGCGUCACGAGCUCAUUUCAUUCUCAGUAUAGUUUCUACCACUGCCCUUAUUGUACAGAUGGAACACGGAAGCCCAAGGAGCCCAUGUAUUCUCCCCUCCGUUAGCAAAUGGUGAACCUAGCACUUGAUCCUAGGGUUUGUGACUUGAGAACACUCUGAGAUCCACAGACUCUGCCCUCCCAAUGGGCUUCCUUUCUGAUCAAGGGAGAGGUUUAGCUCCCUUUCUUGUUCCCAUAGGGAGACUGUAGGUGAAGGUACAUAUGACGUAAGCAAUCUCCUUCUCCUCCUCCGCGGCUGGAGAUUUCGUACGUGAAUGGGGUAAUCUCCCCUGCAUUCCUCCAUUCGCAACACACUCAGGCUGAAAGAGCCCGAGGGCAGAAGCUGUGUCAUACUGCACAUGUGCACAGAGUGAGCGCCCCUGCAUCCCUGCAACAUUCCUCUACCAUGCAAUCCUCAAAGGCCGAAAGAACCUGUAGGCAGAGGCAGGGUCAGCUUGUUCAUGUGACUUACAGGCACCCUUCAUACUUCCUCUGCCUGAUACUCUGAUGUAAGCCUCAUGCUCUGCUGUGAGCGUUCAUAAGACAGAAGAGGCAAAGUGUAGGCCAGUAAGCCUGCCUUGAGCCUACCACAUGCUCAACCCGGUGGACAGACUAGAAUGAUAGAGGCUCGUAUGAUACUUGUUAGUAGUCUGUCUAAGCUC
rnacentral:sRNA from 1 species